AGUUUCUGCUCUACCGGUUAAAACUUCUAUCGCGAAGGAAGGGCUUCAGAAAAGUGGGUUUUGGGGCUCGAAUGCGGGAUGUAGAGUCGUAGUUAAAACUGGUGUUCCUCGACCAUUUGAUCAUGAUAGAACUGGCAGGUUUAUUUGUUGUAGUUCCAGUUCAUCAUCUGAUGGCAAUAAUAAUCUGUCCUGGAAUUUCAAUGAGAAAGAUGAAGAAUAUGUGAAUUCUACUGUGAUUGAAGCAGUUGAGGUGAGAAGCGGUUCAGAAGGUUUCAUGAUUAAGAUGCGUGAUGGUAGGCAUUUAAGAUGUGUUCACAACACCCCCCAGGAAGGGCAGCUGCCAGACUAUGCUCCUCAUCCUGCUAUUGUAUUGAAGAUGGAUGAUGGAAGCGAUAUUCUUCUU
rnacentral:misc_RNA from 1 species